GAGUUUGAUCCUGGCUCAGAGCGAACGCUGGCGGCAGGCCUAACACAUGCAAGUCGAGCGCCCCGCAAGGGGAGCGGCAGACGGGUGAGUAACACGUGGGAACAUGCCCUUCGGUUCGGAAUAACUCAGGGAAACUUGAGCUAAUACCGGAUACGUCCGUAAGGAGAAAGAUUUAUUGCCGAAGGAUUGGCCCGCGUCUGAUUAGCUAGUUGGUGGGGUAAUGGCCCACCAAGGCGACGAUCAGUAGCUGGUCUGAGAGGAUGAUCAGCCACACUGGGACUGAGACACGGCCCAGACUCCUACGGGAGGCAGCAGUGGGGAAUAUUGGACAAUGGGCGCAAGCCUGAUCCAGCCAUGCCGCGUGAGUGAUGAAGGCCCUAGGGUUGUAAAGCUCUUUCGGUGGGGAAGAUAAUGACGGUACCCGCAGAAGAAGCCCCGGCUAACUUCGUGCCAGCAGCCGCCGUAAG
rnacentral:rRNA from 1 species